GAAACCCUAUCUCAGUCCGGAUUGGAGUCUGCAACUCGACUCCAUGAAGUCGGAAUCGCUAGUAAUCGCAGAUCAGCAUUGCUGCGGUGAAUACGUUCCCGGGCCUUGUACACACCGCCCGUCACACCAUGGGAGUUUGUUGCACCAGAAGCAGGUAGCUUAACCUUCGGGAGGGCGCUUGCCACGGUGUGGCCGAUGACUGGGGUGAAGUCGGAACAAGGUAGCCGUAG
rnacentral:rRNA from 1 species